rnacentral:rRNA from 1 species
AUUGAACGCUGGCGGCAGGCCUAACACAUGCAAGUCGAGCGGAGCGGCGGACGGGCGGGUAAUGCCUAGGAAUCUGCCUGGCAGAUGGGGAUAACGUCCGGAAACGGGCGCUAAUACCUCAUACAUUCAGACGAGCCUAGGUGGGAUUAGCUAGUUGGUGGGGUAAAGGCCUACCAAGGUGACCAUCCGUAACUGGUCUGAGAGGAUGACCAGUCACACUGGAACUGAGACACGGUCCAGACUCCGACGGUAGGCAGCAGUGGGGAAUAUUGGACAAUUGGCGAAAGCCUGAUCCAGCCAUGCCGCGUGUGUGAAGAAGGUCUUCGGGUUGUAAAGCACUUUAAGUUGGGAGGCGUUACCAACAGAAUAAGCACCGGCUAACUUCGUGCCAGCAGCCGCGGUAAUUC